GCUCUCGUGGUCUAGUAGAAUGAUACGCGCUUUGGGCAAGUCCACUUGUGCGGGGUCCCGGGUUCAAAUCCCGGCGAGGGUC